CAUGCUCACCCCUCCCUCCACAUCAGUCCUUCCAUGGUGGCACCCACCUUAUCCUCCACAGCCUGACCCCCUGCCUCUCAUUUCCCUCCCUUCCCUGGUUUAUGGAGCUUUUCCUCUUUCUUGGCUGGUCUUCAUCAGAUGCUUUUGCCGUAACAAAAAGUCACAGGAGUAAACACUUGUAAACACUGGCAUCGGAACACGUUCGUGCAUGGGGAAGGAAGUGUCCAGGGACAGGACCCAAGGACAGCCUGGCUGGUGUCCAGUCUGAGGAUCUCUCCACUCCCUGAGGUCAACUCCAAAGAGCUGACCCCCAGACAGUCAGGCCCUAGACAUGGAAAACCAUUGAGCUGAUUGUUGGGCAAUUCUGACUGUGUAGACUGUUGGGAAGAGCACAGUCUGUGUUCAAAUCCUUGUUCAGUUGACUGACGUUGGGGGCACUGAUUUCUUCUCCACUUGUAGUCUUGUCCUCAGGCAAGUAAUGGCGGCUACACCCUUCCUUUUUGGAAAGGUUGUAAGGAUAGAGUGAGAUAUUUCAUGCCCUGCAAAUGGCACAUCGACUUUCUUCUGUACCUGUCAGGAUAGGCCUGAUAAUGCUGCAGUAACUACUAACCUGACAUCUUAGUGGCCUAUAACCACAGAGGCCAAGUUCUCACUCUCACUAUGUGGCCAUCACGGGCCAGUGGGCCACUCUGCUCACUUCACUCUCACCCAGGAACACAGGCUGAUCGGAUGAUCCUGUCACACAUUGCUGGUUACAAUGGCAGAAGGAAAGAAUGUUCUGGAAGGCCGUGUAUUAUAUCUACAGCUAAGUCCUCUAGCCUGGAAAUGACACACACCACACAACUUCGGCUUCCAAUUCAUUGGUCAGAGAAGAUGUGACCUCACUCAAUGGCAAGGGGCCAGGAAGAACAAUCCUUCCAGGUGCUCACAAAACAGGACUAGCACCGAGCACCACAGCAUUCAUCUCCACGUUGCUUUCUUCAACAGCAAAAUGGGAUCCAUUGCUUCUGCCUUGUGUUUAUCUGGAGUUGGAGUGAUCGCCACGUCUGGGCAGGCUGCAGGGGCUGGCUCUCUCACCAUCCUUGAGCUCAAAUCUGCCUUUUGAAAGUCUCCUGGGCCCUCAGCAGAGCUGGGGCUGCUGGGCCUUGGGAAAAGGAUGGAGGUGUUGGGAGCAAAAGAGAAGCAGACAUGGCACCCCACCCUUGAGAAGCUAACUUUGGGACAAUGUGGCCAGUGCUAGGGGGGUCUGGAGGUACUUACAGAAGAGUGCUGGGAAGGCUUCUUGGAAGAGGUGAUGUUUGAGUUGAGUCUUGAAGGAUAAGUAGGAAGAAACCAAGGACUUCAGAGACAAGGAAUAAUCAGGGAAGGCUACCUGAAGGAGGUGGCCAAACAGGAGAAAAGCCAAAGUAAAGCCCCGGAGACAAGCAUUUCACAGCCGCCCUGGGACAGUGAGGAGAGGAGACUGGCUCAAGCAGAGAAAUCUUGGUGCAUGCAGGAAUGCGGAGACCAUAAAUCCCCUGGGGGAAGGACUUGCAUCUGAUUUG